GAUGAAGAACGCAGCGAAAUGCGAUACGUAAUGUGAAUUGCAGAAUUCAGUGAAUCAUCGAGUCUUUGAACGCACAUUGCGCCCCCUGGUAUUCCGGGGGGCAUGCCUGUCCGAGCGUCAUUGCUGCCCUCAAGCACGGCUUGUGUGUUGGGCCUCCGUCCUCCUCCCGGGGGACGGGCCCGAAAGGCAGCGGCGGCACCGCGUCCGGUCCUCGAGCGUAUGGGGCUUCGUCACCCGCUCUUGUAGGCCCGGCCGGCGCUUGCCGACACAUCAAUCUUUUUUCCAGGUUGACCUCGGAUCAGGUAGGGAUACCCGCUGAACUUAAGCAUAUCAAUAACGGAGA
rnacentral:misc_RNA from 1 species